UGGAUUCGCUAGUAAUCGCGCAUCAGCCAUGGCGCGGUGAAUACGUUCCCGGGCCUUGUACACACCGCCCGUCAAGCCAUGGGAGCCGGGAGUGCCUGAAGGCCGUGACCGCAAGGAGCGGCCUAAGGUAAAACUGGUGACUGGGGCUAAGUCGUAACAAGGUAUC
rnacentral:rRNA from 1 species